rnacentral:SRP_RNA from 2 species
GCCAGGCGUGGUGGCACACGCCUGUAAUCCCAGCUACUCAGGAGGCUGAGGCAGGAGAAUCGCUUGAACCCAGGAAGCGGGGGUUGCAGUGAGCUGUGAUUGUGCCACUGCACUCCAUCCUGGGUGACAGAGUGAGACUCAGUCUCAA